GACGAACGCUGGCGGCGUGCUUAACACAUGCAAGUCGAACGGAAAGGCCCUGCUUUUGUGGGGUGCUCGAGUGGCGAACGGGUGAGUAACACGUGAGUAACCUGCCCUUGACUUUGGGAUAACUUCAGGAAACUGGGGCUAAUACCGGAUAGGAGCUCCUGCUGCAUGGUGGGGGUUGGAAAGUUUCGGCGGUUGGGGAUGGACUCGCGGCUUAUCAGCUUGUUGGUGGGGUAGUGGCUUACCAAGGCUUUGACGGGUAGCCGGCCUGAGAGGGUGACCGGCCACAAUGGGACUGAGAUACGGACCAGACUCCUACGGGAGGCAGCAGGGGGGAAUAUUGCACAAUGGGCGGAAGCCUGAUGCAGCAACGCCGCGUGCGGGAUGACGGCCUUCGGGUUGUAAACCGCUUUCGCCGGUGACGAAGAGUGAGUGACGGUAAUGGGUAAAGAAGCACCGGCUAACUACGUG
rnacentral:rRNA from 1 species